GAGAAGGUGGGCGGGGCUGAGCCGCCCUGGCCCGUGACGCGAGCAGUAGUUGGGGAAACGCGCGCUGGUUCCCCCUGCGGUCGGGAGAUCCCGAGCCUGAGGCGGGCGUGGCAGACCUGACAGUCCUGACAUUGCCAAGCCAGAGCACCACGCGUCAGUUUGAGCGGCAGCUCCUACACCAAGGGCGCUCAGAAUCCCCCAGGAAACCCCCUGAGGGGUUAGCAACCCGCUAGUAGGUUUCGGUCCCAAGAUACUGAAGAUUUUACUUAUUAUUUGAGAGCGAGCAUGAGCAAGGGGAAGGGCAGAGGGAGAGAAGCGGGAAGAGGGAGAGACUCCCCCCUGCGCAUGAAACCCAACAUGAGGCUCGAUCCUAGGACCCUGAGAUCAUGACCUGAGCUGAAGGCCCAUGCUUAACCAACUGAGCCACCCAGAGGAGGCAAAGGUAUUAACUGUCUUCAGUCAUCCGACACCAGCCACCUCCACCAUGCCGCCUAAGUUUGACCCCAAUGAGAUCCAAGUCAUGUACCUGAGGUGCACUGUUGGCGAAGCUGGU